rnacentral:rRNA from 1 species
AGUGAACGCUGGCGGCAGGCCUAAUACAUGCAAGUCGAACGGCAGCACAGCAGAGCUUGCUCUGUGGGUGGCGAGUGGCGACGGGUGAGGAAUACAUGGGAAUCUGCCCAGUCGUGGGGGAUAACGUAUGGAAACGUACGCUAAUACCGCAUGCGCCCUACGGGGGAAAGCCGGGACCGCAAGGCCUGGCGCGAUUGGAUGAGCCCAUGUUCGAUUAGCUAGUUGGCGGGGUAAAGGCCCACCAAGGCGACGAUCGAUAGCUGGUCUGAGAGGAUGAUCAGCCACACUGGAACUGAGACACGGUCCAGACUCCUACGGGAGGCAGCAGUAGGGAAUAUUGGACAAUGGGGGCAACCCUGAUCCAGCCAUGCCGCGUGAGUGAAGAAGGCCCUCGGGUUGUAAAGCUCUUUUGUCCGGAAAGAAAAGCAAUCGGUUAAUACCCGGUUGUUCUGACGGUACCGGAAGAAUAAGCACCGGCUAACUUCGUGCCAGC